rnacentral:rRNA from 1 species
CCUACGGGAGACAGCAGUGAGGAAUAUUGGUCAAUGGACGAGAGUCUGAACCAGCCAAGUAGCGUGAAGGAUGACUGCCCUAUGGGUUGUAAACUUCUUUUAUAUGGGAAUAAAAUGUUCCACGUGUGGGAUUUUGUAUGUACCAUAUGAAUAAGGAUCGGCUAACUCCGUGCCAGCAGCCGCGGUAAUACGGAGGAUCCGAGCGUUAUCCGGAUUUAUUGGGUUUAAAGGGAGAGUAGGUGGUUUGUUAAGUCAGUUGUGAAAGUUUGCGGCUCAACCGUAAAAUUGCAGUUGAAACUGGCAGUCGUGAGUACAGUAGAGGUGGGCGGAAUUCGUGGUGUAGCGGUGAAAUGCUUAGAUAUCACGAAGAACUCCGAUUGCGAAGGCAGCUCACUGGACUGCAACUGACACUGAGGCUCGAAAGUGUGGGUAUCAAACAGGAUUAGAUACCCCGGUAGUC